UACGAAGGGGGCGAGCGUUGUUCGGAAUUACUGGGCGUAAAGCGUGCGCAGGCGGUUAUGCAAGACAGAUGUGAAAUCCCCGGGCUCAACCUGGGAACUGCAUUUGUGACUGCAUAGCUAGAGUACGGUAGAGGGGGAUGGAAUUCCGCGUGUAGCAGUGAAAUGCGUAGAUAUGCGGAGGAACACCGAUGGCGAAGGCAAUCCCCUGGACCUGUACUGACGCUCAUGCACGAAAGCGUGGGGAGCAAACAGG
rnacentral:rRNA from 1 species